UUCCAUAUGGUGGUAUAAUCACUAGAAUACUGAAAGCCUACGAUAUUCCAAUACCAUCCGACGAAGAAGUAAUAAAAGUAGAUAGGUUUAGCAUAAUAAAUAAAAAUCUACUUCACCGAUUGAGAUGUGUUUAUAGAAACGGUAACUGGGUUAGAAUGCCUAGAAGAACCGAUCCCCCUCAACCUGAACCAGAACUGGAAACACCAGUCUUUAGGGGUACUCAAUCUCCUCCGAUCUGUCCCUUUGAG
rnacentral:lncRNA from 1 species